UAGUCCACGCUGUAAACGAUGAGAACUAGCUGUUGGGUAUUAAUAUUUAGUGGCGCAGUUAACGCGAUAAGUUCUCCGCCUGGGGAGUACGGCCGCAAGGUUAAAACUCAAAUGAAUUGACGGGGGCCCGCACAAGCGGUGGAGCAUGUGGUUUAAUUCGAUGCAACGCGAAGAACCUUACCUACCCUUGACAUCCUGCGAAUCCUGUAGAGAUACGGGAGUGCCUUCGGGAAUGCAGAGACAGGUGCUGCAUGGCUGUCGUCAGCUCGUGUUGUGAAAUGUUGGGUUAAGUCCCGUAACGAGCGCAACCCUUGUCCUUAGUUGCCAUCAUUUAGUUGGGUACUCUGGGGAAACUGCCGGUGACAAGCCGGAGGAAGGUGGGGAUGACGUCAAGUCCUCAUGGCCCUUACGGGCUGGGCUACACAUGUGCUACAAUGGCGACUACAAUGGGCCGCAACCUCGCGAGAGGAAGCAAAUCCCCAAAGGUCGUCUCAGUUCGGAUUGCACU
rnacentral:rRNA from 1 species